rnacentral:rRNA from 1 species
AACGCUAGCUACAGGCUUAACACAUGCAAGUCGAGGGGUAGCAGGGUAGCAAUACCGCUGACGACCGGCGCACGGGUGAGUAACACGUAUCCAACCUUCCCAUAACUCGGAGAUAGCCUUUCGAAAGAAAGAUUAAUACCCGAUAGUACUUAAGAAAGGCAUCUUUUUUAAGUUAAAGAUUUAUUGGUUAUGGAUGGGGAUGCGUUCCAUUAGAUAGUUGGUGAGGUAACGGCUCACCAAGUCUUCGAUGGAUAGGGGUUCUGAGAGGAAGGUCCCCCACAUUGGUACUGAGACACGGACCAAACUCCUACGGGAGGCAGCAGUGAGGAAUAUUGGUCAAUGGGCGAGAGCCUGAACCAGCCAAGUAGCGUGAAGGAUGAAGGUCCUAUGGAUUGUAAACUUCUUUUAUAGUAGAAUAAAGUGACCCACGUGUGGGUUUUUGUAUGUAUACUAUGAAUAAGGAUCGGCUAACUCCGUGCCAGCAGCCGCGGUAAUACGGAGGAUCCGAGCGUUAUCCGGAUUUAUUGGGUUUAAAGGGUGCGUAGGCGGAAUAAUAAGUCAGUUGUGAAAGUUUGCGGCUCAACCGUAAAAUUGCAGUUGAUACUGGGCGCCUUGAGUGCAGCAUAGGUAGGCGGAAUUCGUGGUGUAGCGGUGAAAUGCUUAGAUAUCACGAAGAACUCCGAUUG